AGAGGAGAGGCUACCACCACCA
rnacentral:miRNA from 1 species